AAGUGAGCUGACCACUGACAAAAUACCUCUUCUUGUCUGUGGCUGUUCUUGCACUGAGGUUCUAAACUUGAAUUUGUCAGUUUCAAUGCACCACUGUAGCCCCAAAGCUCGAUCCAUCGGAAGCUGGUCCACAUCCAAAUCCAGCUCCAUCACUUCCUUUGCUCUGCAGUCUUCAGCAAUUGACAGCAGCACUGUUCGGCUGUUGCUGAUCCAUUUGGAAAGAUUAAAUCCUCCUUUGUGACAAAGCGCAGUCACAUCCUUGACCACUUGCACUGCCACCUCCUCUGAGGCCACUGAUUUCAAGCAAUCAUCGACAUAAAAAUUACACUUUACUGUAUUGACCACUUCAUGGGGGAAAUGUUCGGCAUUGUCAUCUGCUGUUCUCCUCAAUGCAUAAUUUGCACAGCUUGGUGACGACACAGCUCCAAACAAAUGAACUUUCAUGCGAUGUUCCACUGGAGCCUGUGAAACGUCUCCCCCAGGCCACCAGAGAAAGCGGAGAAAGUUGAUGUGCUUUUCAGAAACAUGAACUUGGUGAUACAUUGCUUGGAUGUCGGCCAUUACUGCAACGGGCUCUUGUCUAAAUCGAACAAGGACUCCAACUAGAGAGUUGGUAAAGUCAGGGCCCUGUAAAAGCUGACAGUUCAGUGACGUCCCUUUGUAUGCUGCUCCACAGUCAAAAACAACUCGCAGCUUGCCUUUUCUGGGAUGAUAAACCCCGUGAUGAGGGAUAUACCAUACAUUUCCAUCACUCUGUUUAGGUUGAUCAGAAGGCACCACUUCAGCAUAUCCUUGAGCCACCAUGUUGUUUAAAAAUGUGAUGUACUCUCCUUUAAAUUGACCAUUCUUGGCAAACUUUCUUUUCAGGCUCUGGAGGCGCUGUUCUGCAACAUGACGAUUAUUUGGCAUGAGAGGGUUUUCCUGCCUGAAGGCAUUUCUUGAAGAUGUUCAACAGAGAUCCGGUUGGAUGUUACAGCAGAGCAGUCACUUUUAUUCUUGUUGCUCCCACCACGAAGUGGACCAUUAAUGACCCAACCGACCCUGGUUCUGACAGCAUAAGGUCCUUCAUCCUGGCUGUUUAUGAGCUCCCAAGGCUCCAUCACUUUUGGUGCAUCAGUUCCAAUGAGCAGAUCAACACCUUCCUCAAUGUCAUGAAGUUGAACAGCCUUGAGAUACGACCACUGAUCAACGUCCUCUUGUCGUGGAAUAUUGAGUGAUGAGACAGGCAUGUUCUUUUGUGUUAAAACAUCAGGUAACUCAAUAAAGUCAUUCAUAUUCAGACCAGACACUUCCAGACCUGACAACACAUGAGCAUUUACUAUCUUCUUUUGACCCAUUGUUCUUAACAGAAUACUUGUCCUUUUACCUCUCACAUUCAAUUUUCUUGCCAAGUUCUCCGUACAAAAUGUUCCUGAGCUCCCAGGAUCCAAGAAAGCAUACGUCUGCACAGUUUUGUUGCUCCUCUGACUCUUGACUUUGACUGCAACAAUAGAAAAAAUGGAGGCAUCUUCCUGACCGGCCCCAAUAUGGCCACAGGUCUGAAACACUGCAGGUGAAACAUUUGAAGAGCUCACAGACUGUUGAUCAGAGGGUGUGGCUUUAUCCUGACGCUCUAUAUGAAGGACACUUGGGUGCUUUUGGUGACACACGUUGCAAUCCAAACGACUCCUGCAGUAUUUGCUAGUGUGGCCUUUUUUCAGGCAACCAAAACAGAUUCCUUUUUCUUUAAUGAAAUUAAUCUUGUCCCUGUGUACUGUCAUCUUGAACUGUGAGCAUUGGUCCAUUGAAUGAUUAACUUGUGAACAGAACAGGCAGUUGAGAGUGGAGGACUUGAUCUUGUUUCCUGUAUGUUGAGUUAUGACUCCAUCCUUUACUGUAGUGACGUUAGUAGCAAAGCUGCUUCCCUUUUUCCUUUGUUUGAAGUGACUAACAGUGGAAGCUUUGGAGUUGGUGAGCUGUGGGUCUUGAAUGUUGCCAAAAACUGGAUCUGAAGCAAUUUUGACUUGUCUUUCAAUAAAACCAACAAGAUCAGCGAACAUU